rnacentral:rRNA from 1 species
AACGAACGCUGGCGGCAGGCUUAACACAUGCAAGUCGAGCGGAGAUGAGGUGCUUGCACCUUAUCUUAGCGGCGGACGGGUGAGUAAUGCUUAGGAAUCUGCCUAUUAGUGGGGGACAACAUUCCGAAAGGAAUGCUAAUACCGCAUACGUCCUACGGGAGAAAGCAGGGGAUCUUCGGACCUUGCGCUAAUAGAUGAGCCUAAGUCGGAUUAGCUAGUUGGUGGGGUAAAGGCCUACCAAGGCGACGAUCUGUAGCGGGUCUGAGAGGACGAUCCGCCACACUGGGACUGAGACACGGCCCAGACUCCUACGGGAGGCAGCAGUGGGGAAUAUUGGACAAUGGGCGGAAGCCUGAUCCAGCCAUGCCGCGUGUGUGAAGAAGGCCUUUUGGUUGUAAAGCACUUUAAGCGAGGAGGAGGCUACUAGUACUAAUACUACUGGAUAGUGGACGUUACUCGCAGAAUAAGCACCGGCUAACUCUGUGCCAGCAGCCGCGGUAACAC